rnacentral:rRNA from 1 species
UACGGAGGGGGCGAGCGUUAUUCGGAAUUAUUGGGCGUAAAGCGCGCGCAGGCGGUCCUUUAAGUCUGAUGUGAAAGCCCACGGCUCAACCGUGGAGGGUCAUUGGAAACUGGGGGACUUGAGUACAGAAGAGAAGAGUGGAAUUCCACGUGUAGCGGUGAAAUGCGUAGAGAUGUGGAGGAACACCAGUGGCGAAGGCGACUCUUUGGUCUGUAACUGACGCUGAGGCGCGAAAGUGUGGGGAGCGAACAGG